AUAUUGUUGUUAUGUGAUGGUAGAGUUAUAUUUUAUUUAAUUACUAGAAUAGCACUCAAAAUUUUUGAGUUAUGAAUGGCGUGGUGAUAGAUUUACGAGUUUAAUGAUUUUUUAGACAUGUCAUUUUUCUAGAUUAAGCAUAUGUUCUAAGAAUGGAAGAUACUAUUAUACCCUUAUCCGAAUAAGAGGAUCUUCUGUGGAUCGGGCAAGUAGAGGUCGUAAACUGUAGAAAACAAUUGAAUUAUCUGUUCUGUUUGGCGAUGGAAGAGAUAGUAUUAGUGUGUGGGAAGUAGAAUUUCAACAACAGGCGGUGGGUAUUUAGUGUUGAUGAACGAGGCGGAUGUAGGGUUCUAAGUUCGAAUCGAAUUAAAGGGUAUGGAGAUCUUGUUGCAAUGGUAUAUCAGGAUUUCAGUUUGGAUAGUAGGGAUUGUAAGGGAUGCUUAUUCUCGACGAUACACCUCCCGUAAUAGUAUGUAACGGAAGACAAUUCGAAGGUUUUCUCCGUCAUUGUAAAAUGGGAAGCAUAUGACUAUGUGUUACGGUACAAGCUAUAGGUUGUGUGGUUGGCGAACCAGAAGUUGAAAUUGUCGAAGAGGGUUGCUGGAUAACUGAGGAUGUUCUUGG
rnacentral:lncRNA from 1 species